GCCAGAGGGUAAAACCGGUCUAACCACAUAUUUUAUCCUCCCCUGGUAAUUUUGGUGCACAUUAUCAGCAAACAUUAAAAGAAAAACAGAUAUAUCCUGAAAAAUAUAAGGAGAUAAAUGCCAUAAAUGUAUAUAUGGGAGACAACUUCCAUUAAAUUGUAAUUAUCAGGAUGUUCAUGAUUUUCCAGAAGUGGUUCCCAGCUACUCUACCAGGGAAAAAAAAAAUCAACUACUGGCAGCAUUUUAUAUUUCAGAAGCUCAAAACUUUGAUAGCAUUAACUGUUGAUUGUAUUAGAAAAAUUAAGGAUUUUAACUUAUAAACUGAAAAAGAGACAUGCUCAAACCUAGACAUACAAGAAACUACUGCAGAUAUUUGAUAACGGCACUAAUUUAAGCAGGCAGUAAGGAUAAAAGUAAAUAUCUUUCUAGCCCCAUUUGGGAAAAACCUGCGAGCUAAUAAGCAUAAGCCAGCAUCAAGAAAGAAAUUUUAUAUGCAGAAUUUUCGCAAAACACCUGGCUUUAUUGUUCUCUGUAAUUAUACCCAGACUAUACGCAUCCAAAUUUUAAGUAUUAUACAUUUAUCAACAAUUCAAGUCAUGAUAUUGCAAGUAAAACUAAAUAUUAAACCAACCUCAGAAACAUGAUUAUUUAUAGCAUUCAAAGAAUAAUAUUUUAUGAAUAAGCAUGAGAAGAUCGGAAAAACAAAUAAUUAACUCAAUGCAGCUAUUGCCAGGAUCUUUUCAUAGUACCCAUGCACAAUGGCAUUCUUGGAUUCCCUCAGAUUAAUGGCAAAAGUUCAAUUUUACCUAGCAAAUGUUUAACUUCAAAGUAGCAUUAUAAAAAUUCAUAUGGACUAUCUGAUGCAUUUCA
rnacentral:misc_RNA from 1 species